UCUCUUGAAUUUUUCUCUAAGUUGAACAUCUGAUUAACAGAAAGUUUUCAAAUGAAGCGCUUUUAUUUGGUAUGUAUUACAUAGCCAGUAAAAUAUGGCAUUAUUCCUUUUCUCUGAAUUUCUCUGGGAGCAGAAUUGAACUAUGAAUGUGCAGUAAUGUAGUCAGUGCAAACAACUCUGCAAACGACCCUGCCACACACAUGACAAAGGGUUUCCAUGGAAACAGUCAAAUAGGAUACAUUUAAUACUAAGUCUUGAGAAACAAGGAAAUCCUGCCAAACACAACCCCGAGGGUGAACUUGGAGGACAUCGCACUCAGCGAGACAAGACAGUCACGGAAGGACAGACACCACAUGAUCCCACUUAUGUGAAGCAUUUGAAAUAGUCCAACUCACGGCAGCAAAAUACAAUACCAUAUACAAUGUAAGGAACCCCCAAGUGUUUAUUGAAUAGCAGAAGAGAAAUCAGGAAGUGAGCAACAAUUACUGAUGCUCCUCUCCCCCUUGGUGGAUUGCAUCCCAUGAAGGCCAUCGGCGCUUUCCUCAAAAGCUGCGUCCUUUGGUGAAGCUGGGAAUCCUCACUCUGCAAUCAGCCACCACACCAAUGCUAUGAUGAAGAAUGGUGCUGGCAUGUCACUGCCUCGCUAUCAUCUCUCUCAGUGCUUCUUGGUGUCUGCUGCUUCCCUUUUCUGCAAAGUAGAAUCCACUGUAACUGUGAGGAAGGGAGACAGAGACUGGGGAAAGAU